UACAGAGGGUGCAAGCGUUAAUCGGAAUUACUGGGCGUAAAGCGCGCGUAGGUGGUUUGUUAAGUUGAAUGUGAAAUCCCCGGGCUCAACCUGGGAACUGCAUGCAAAACUGGCAAGCUAGAGUAUGGUAGAGGGUGGUGGAAUUUCCUGUGUAGCGGUGGAAUGCGUAGAUAUAGGAAGGAACACCAGUGGCGAAGGCGACCACCUGGACUGAUACUGACACUGAGGUGCGAAAGCGUGGGGAGCAAACAGG
rnacentral:rRNA from 1 species